UUGGUGUGUCUGAGAUCUAUC
rnacentral:siRNA from 1 species